ACUAACACACACGCAUACACACAAAAGAGUUAAUAAUUUUUGUGGUAUACAUACACAUCGAUUACGCAUAACGAGUGGACAUUAGUUUAGUUUUUCCUGUUCUAAAAUUUAAUUUCAAGCUUGGGGUCGGAGCGGGGUGGCCAUCGAUGGGGUAAGAAAAAUGGUGUGACUAGCUUGGAGAUCGGUUUGCUUCGGCGUAGGAAAGUAGUAAUCGAAGCGGACCGUUCAAACCGAUUUCCGAAGCAAACAAUUUGGGAGUUCAAGUGUUAAUUGGACGCUCAGAUGAAUGAAUUAAAUAUAAAAAUACAACAAAAUGGUUUCCUUCAACCGAAAAGCUGAGAGAUAUUGUGUCUUACGACCAGUAAGAACAAUACGGUUGACUGAAACCCUAAACAAUAUAUAUUGUUUUUAUGCAGGACUCGUCUGUCCUGCUGACAACACACACAAAAAAAUAUGAAUUUAAGCAACGUUUUACAAGCCGAAAUGAAAAAGGAAACCCAGUCUUAUAAGGCAUGUAAAAUGUUGCAAAAUACUCAACAUAAGUAACGUUUUACGCGCCUUAACCAAUCCAAAAGAAUCGAGAAAUUGAUAAAUUUCGUGUGACUAAAAUGGAAGUUGUACGAAAUUUGACAAUUUAAAAAAGGAAAAUGAACUCAUUUUGUACGUAAUUUAACAAUUUAAUAGAAGAAAAAAGAUGAAUUUAUUUUGUUUAGAAAGAGACGGGAAUAUGCAGGCCAUCUCUCUCACAUUCCCGUUUUUUUUCGAUUCGAAAGAGACGAAAAAUCGAAUCAAAUAAGAAAGAGAUGGAGAUAAAAGGCGGGAAUAAGCACGAUUUGAAUUGAGACCAGACGAUCACUAAUCACUGGAUCCAAAAUUAGUGCGCGGACUCCAUGUGCUUGGAUGCUGUUCUCAGAAAUAAACAGUAUUAUUUAAGUAAACCGUCUGUGAAAUAAAAUGAUUUUGAAAUAAAUGUUAUUUGAACAAUAA